CUCAGAUUGAACGCUGGCGGCAGGCCUAACACAUGCAAGUCGAGCGGAUGAAAGGAGCUUGCUCCUGGAUUCAGCGGCGGACGGGUGAGUAAUGCCUAGGAAUCUGCCUGGUAGUGGGGGACAACGUUUCGAAAGGAACGCUAAUACCGCAUACGUCCUACGGGAGAAAGCAGGGGACCUUCGGGCCUUGCGCUAUCAGAUGAGCCUAGGUCGGAUUAGCUAGUUGGUGAGGUAAUGGCUCACCAAGGCGACGAUCCGUAACUGGUCUGAGAGGAUGAUCAGUCACACUGGAACUGAGACACGGUCCAGACUCCUACGGGAGGCAGCAGUGGGGAAUAUUGGACAAUGGGCGAAAGCCUGAUCCAGCCAUGCCGCGUGUGUGAAGAAGGUCUUCGGAUUGUAAAGCACUUUAAGUUGGGAGGAAGGGUUGUAGAUUAAUACUCUGCAAUUUUGACGUUACCGACAGAAUAAGCACCGGCUAACUCUGUGCCAGCAGCCGCGGUAAUACAGAGGGUGCAAGCGUUAAUCGGAAUUACUGGGCGUAAAGCGCGCGUAGGUGGUUUGUUAAGUUGGAUGUGAAAUCCCCGGGCUCAACCUGGGAACUGCAUCCAAAACUGGCAAGCUAGAGUAUGGUAGAGGGUGGUGGAAUUUCCUGUGUAGCGGUGAAAUGCGUAGAUAUAGGAAGGAACACCAGUGGCGAAGGCGACCACC
rnacentral:rRNA from 1 species